AACAGGAUUAGAUACCCUGGUAGUCCACGCCGUAAACGAUGUCGACUUGGAGGUUGUGCCCUUGAGGCGUGGCUUCCGGAGCUAACGCGUUAAGUCGACCGCCUGGGGAGUACGGCCGCAAGGUUAAAACUCAAAUGAAUUGACGGGGGCCCGCACAAGCGGUGGAGCAUGUGGUUUAAUUCGAUGCAACGCGAAGAACCUUACCUGGUCUUGACAUCCACGGAAGUUUUCAGAGAUGAGAAUGUGCCUUCGGGAACCGUGAGACAGGUGCUGCAUGGCUGUCGUCAGCUCGUGUUGUGAAAUGUUGGGUUAAGUCCCGCAACGAGCGCAACCCUUAUCCUUUGUUGCCUGCGGUCCGGCCGGGAACUCAAAGGAGACUGCCAGUGAUAAACUGGAGGAAGGUGGGGAUGACGUCAAGUCAUCAUGGCCCUUACGACCAGGGCUACACACGUGCUACAAUGGCGCAUACAAAGAGAAGCGACCUCGCGAGAGCAAGCGGACCUCAUAAAGUGCGUCGUAGUCCGGAUUGGAGUCUGCAACUCGACUCCAUGAAGUCGGAAUCGCUAGUAAUCGUGGAUCAGAAUGCCACGGUGAAUACGUUCCCGGGCCUUGUACACACCGCCCGUCACACCAUGGGAGUGGGUUGCAAAAGAAGUAGGUAGCUUAACCUUCGGGAGGGCGCUUACCACUUUGUGAUUCAUGACUGGGGUGAAGUCGUAACAAGGUAACC
rnacentral:rRNA from 1 species